rnacentral:rRNA from 1 species
CCUACGGGAGGCAGCAGUGGGGAAUAUUGCACAAUGGGGGAAACCCUGAUGCAGCAACGCCGCGUGAGUGAAGAAGUAUUUCGGUAGGUAAAGCUCUAUCAGCAGGGAAGAGAAUGACGGUACCUGACUAAGAAGCCCCGGCUAACUACGGGCCAGCAGCCGCGGUAAUACGUAGGGGGCGAGCGUUAUCCGGAUUUACUGGGUGUAAAGGGAGCGUCGACGGUUCUGCAAGUCUGAAGUGAAAGCCCGGGGCUUAACCGCGGAACGGCUUUUGAAACUGUGGAACUGGAGUGCUGGAGAGGCAAGCGGAAUUCCUACUGUAGCGGUGACCUGCGUAGAUCUUCGGCGGAACCCCAGUGGCGACGGCGGCUUGCUGGACAGUACCUGACGUUGAGGCUCG